rnacentral:rRNA from 1 species
CCCUUAGAUGUUCUGGGCCGCACGCGCGCUACACUGAUGCAUUCAACGAGUUUCUUCCUGGUCCGAGAGGAAUGGGUAACCUUUUGAAAGUGCAUUGUGAUAGGGAUAGACUAUUGCAAUUAUUGGUCUUCAACGAGGAAUUCCUAGUAGACGUAGUUCAUCAGACUGCAUCGAUUACGUCCCUGCCCUUUGUACACACCGCCCGUCGCUCCUACCGAUUGAAUGCUCAGGUGAGCCAUUCGGACUUUCAUCAUGCUGGUUUCCAGUUUUGAUGAAGGAAAGUCUUGCGAACCUUAUCAUUUAGAGGAAGGAGAAGUCGUAACA